rnacentral:rRNA from 1 species
CCUACGGGAGGCAGCAGUGGGGCAUAUUGCACAAUGGGGGAAACCCUGAUGCAGCGACGCCGCGUGAGUGAAGCCGUAAUUCGUUAUGUAAAGCUCUAUCAGCAGGGAAGAAAAUGACGGUACGUGAGUAAGAAGCCCCGGCUAACUACGUGCCAGCAGCAGCGGUAAUACGUCGGGGGCAAGCGUUAUCCGGAUUUACAGAGUGUAAAGGGGGCGUAGACGGCAGUGCAAGUCUGGAGUGAAAGGCGGGGGCUCAACCCCCGGACUGCUCUGGAAACGGUACGGCUGGAGUGCAGGAGAGGUAAGUGGAAUUCCUAGUGUAGCGGUGAAAUGCGUAGAUAUUAGGAGGAACACCAGUGGCGAAGGCGGCUUACUGGACUGUAACUGACGUUGAGGCUCGAAAGCGUGGGGAGCAAACAGGAUUAGAUACCCGUGUAGUC